GAACGAGCGGCGGCAAGAUGGCUGCGUGGGCACGAGGAUGCACUCCAGGGUGGGCCAGGAGAAAAGAGAAAAGACAGCUUGGUGAUGACUAAGAAGAUUGUCCUGUGAAGGGAAGUGAUGGCACAGGCUCUGAUCAGCUCUUCUGGGAACAGACAGAGAAGUGAGAAUUCCUGCCAAAGCCACAGGAUGAACACAGAGCCAAGAACCUGAACCAGAAAAAUCCAGCAGGAAAGGAACCUGCACUAGCCACCAUCCUGAGGCUGCUGUACAGGGAGCAAUCCUACCGCAGGGACUUGGCAGGAGACCAGGGGCCUGCUCCCCAGUCCUCCUCGAGGGCCUCUGUCACCGACCUGCUUGUCUAGGAUCUCCUUUCUUUCUGCUUGUGCCACAUCUUUCAGGCCUGUUCUGGGUCUGAUGUGCUAUAGAACACUCUGUUCAGGCACUUGGGAAAUAGAGACUUCAUCACCAGCAUUUCCACCCCCAAAGAACUAGGCAGCACACUGGGAAGUUGCCAAAGGAAGGGACUCCAGCCUCCCAGGAGUUAACAACAUUUCUCCCCAGCUAUCCUCCCCUUGGUGCUCCUCUUCCUCCCUCCUCCUGCUCACAGCAGGCAGGGCCUGGAACCAGGAGCCAUGCUGCUGUGCUGUUGCCAGGGGAGCUGGGAGGCAGAUCGGAGCUAUGCAGGGAAAAGGCUCGGCCUGUCAGAGUGUCUGAGAUGAACCACCGCCAUCCCUGUGCAGCUGGGCUCCAUGUGUCUCAGGGCUCUUGUUCUGUGCCUGAGAACGGUGAAGCCCAGCGAGGUUCAAGGGCACACUCGCUAUUCAUCAGUCGGGGGUUCUUGACGGUCCUGCCUCUCCCAGGGAUGGGUUCCCCCCUUCCUCUUUCUCUCCCUCCUAUGAUACAUUCCUGGGUGCCUGUGGUGAGGACUGCACACCCCCUUCUCCACAGCCCCCCCAAACCCUGAAUCAACUCCUAUUAAGGAGGCCAGGCGAGACAGGGACAAUGGCUUCAAGAAAUCAUUCAGGCGGGACCUCAGUCACAUUCGCAUGCCCGUCACUCCCAGAGCCCCUGUAGAUCCCACUCUGCUGUGAUUCAGGGACCCUUGGGCCCCCAGCUUGCACAUGCCUAGACAGGAGCAGGCCACUAGGUGCUGCCCUACACAACAGGCCAGUGCAGUGUUUGUUCUCAGGGACCCUGGGGCCUCCAUCCCACUGGCUGGAUAGUGUGUGCAGUCAGUUGGAGAGCAGAAACUACAAUAUUUUCUGAAAUGUGGUAAUAUCAAGAUAUAAGAGGCACAUAUACGUGAUGACUAAUUUCACUUCAGAUAUACUGGAAAAGUUUGCUAAGAACAUGGACAAAGACCUGUGGUUGAGUAACGAGUCAUUUCAUUCCAUGGAAUAUUACACACCUGUAAGACUGUGGUAGAUCUACCUCUGCAUGCAGGCUGAUAGGGAAGGUUGCUAAUAUACUUAAGUGAAUAGAAUAAAGUACAAAACAGUCAAGUGUGUUCUUGUUUGUAUAUACUUAAAGGUCAGUUACGGUGGCAGGGGUGUGUGAAGCUCAGUGGUAAAAUGCACACAGCAUACAGGAGGCCUAGAGCCAAAAAACCCUGUAUCAACCAUAAGUAUGUCUGCAUGAAUGGUUGGCAAGCAAGCCCUGCCCAGCAGCCUCCAGGAAGCAGGAGGCCUUUCCUCCUGUGUCUUUGUGUUUGUUUUCUCUCUGCGUUUGUGAAGCACUUUUAUUGAAAAAAAGAAAGGAUAGUAAUCACUUAAUAGGUGUAACUUCUCUCAGCCAACGAAGGGCAUGCACUCCAAGACAAGGUGGUGAUGUGGCUGAGAAGUGUCUUGACAGUACUGGUGGCCUCUGGCCACUGGCGGUUCUCCAACCACAUGUCAUCAUCAUGACUGCCACUGUUAAUCGAAAGCCCACUUAGUCCCAGGGUUAGUUCUCUGGUUCCUGCUUAGGUGAGUGUCCUAGUAUUUCAGUCUAGCCAAUGCAGGAGACUGAAUGGGGAAAUCAGUGGGUUUCUCCAAGCUGUUUGGGUCAAGUCAGUAUCCUAGAGUGGGUAAGGCAAGUGUGGGCUCUGAUUUCCCUCUGGGAGGACCUGUUUUGAGGAGGGGGCUUGUGGGCUGUGUUGAUUAUGAGUGAGCACUCCUACUUGCUUUAGCCCAGUGGAGGUGCCCUGCUGGGGACAGGCUGGCUUCAGGAGUUGACUGUCUCUGAACCACUCCAUCUGCAUACACACAGCAAGUAUUCAGAGACACCACCGGACUUUGCUGCUCCCAGUGUUAAUCAAAAGCCUGGCCUUGCCCUCAAAGGAGUAAAUUGCUGAGGGCAUCUGGAAAGCGCAAUGUGGAGCUGAGCACUGAGUCUUGGAGCCAACAUCCUGUGGAGCUCUGUCUGCGUUGGGCCCUGAUGCCUGGGAGUGGGCAAGGAAAGA
rnacentral:lncRNA from 1 species